rnacentral:rRNA from 1 species
UACGUAGGGGGCAAGCGUUGUCCGGAAUCAUUGGGCGUAAAGCGCGUGUAGGCGGUUCGGGAAGUCUGCUGUGAAAGUCCAGGGCUCAACCCUGGGAUGCCGGUGGAUACUGUCGGACUAGAGUACGGAAGAGGCGAGUGGAAUUCCCGGUGUAGCGGUGAAAUGCGCAGAUAUCGGGAGGAACACCAAUUGCGAAGGCAGCUCGCUGGGACGUCACUGACGCUGAGACGCGAAAGCGUGGGGAGCAAACAGG